AGCGAACGCUGGCUGCAGGCCUAACACAUGCAAGUCGAACGGACCCUUCGGGGUUAGUGGCGGACGGGUGAGUAACACGUGGGAACGUGCCUUUAGGUUCGGAAUAGCUCCUGGAAACGGGUGGUAAUGCCGAAUGUGCCCUUCGGGGGAAAGAUUUAUCGCCUUUAGAGCGGCCCGCGUCUGAUUGGCUAGUUGGUGAGGUAAAGGCUCACCAAGGCUACGAUCAGGAGCUGGUCUGAGAGGAUGGCCAGCCUCAUUGGGUCUGAGACACGGCCCAAAGUACUACGGGAGGCAGCAGUGGGGAAUCUUGCGCAAUGGGCGAAAGCCUGACGCAGCCACGCCGCGUGUAUGAUGAAGGUCUUAGGAUUGUAAAAUACUUUCACCGGUGAAGAUAAUGACUGUAGCCGGAGAAGAAGCCCCGGCUAACUUCGUGCCAGCAGCCGCAGUAA
rnacentral:rRNA from 1 species